UUCCAUCUCUGCUACAGACAGGAAGGAGAAGCAGCCGAGUGCUGUCUGGGAGUGCUGGGGCUGAAGCAGCUGUUUUAAUAAACACUUCUCCUCACUGCAUCGGUGGAAGGUAGGAAGGCUCCUCUCCUCGGUGUACACAGAGCCUGAAGGGCCAUGGCUAUAUGCACUAGGAGAUAAGGGCUUCCUGAUCUCAUUCCUGCACUUAGAGAUUCCUGCAGAGUUGGAUAGAAGGCACAUUUUCCACAAAGCCUGUUUUGCAUGGGCAUUAAAGGCUUCAUGGAUGUAUGCUUGUUCAGACUACACAGUCUAGGCACAGUAGGUGCAUAUUUUCAGUUUGUUUACAAACCGCCAAUGAAGAAUAAGAAGAAGAACAUUAACUACUUUAAAAUGGCGAUAGCCCCCAGUGGUGCUGCUGAGAGUGGUGGAGGUUUGCCUUCUGUCCAUAUCUAUGGAACCUAGCUUUCUUCUGCUGAUUCUGAGAGUGGUGGAGGUUAGCCUUCUCUCCAUAUCUAUGGAACCUAGCUUUCUUCUGCUGAUACUGAGAGUGGUGGAGGUUAGCCUUCUCUCCAUAUCUAUGGAACCUAGCUUUCUUCUGCUGAUGCUGAUAGUGGUGAAGGUUUUGCCUUCUCUCCAUAUCUAUGGAACCUAGCUUUCUUCUGCUGAUUCUGAGAGUGGUGGAGGUUAGCCUUCUCUCCAUAUCUAUGGAACCUAGCUUUCUUCUGCUGAUACUGAGAGUGGUGGAGGUUAGCCUUCUCUCCAUAUCUAUGGAACCUAGCUUUCUUCUGCUGAUUCUGAGAGUGGUGGAGGUUAGCCUUCUCUCCAUAUCUAUGGAACCUAGCUUUCUUCUGCUGAUUCUGAGAGUGGUGGAGGUUAGCCUUCUCUCCAUAUCUAUGGAACCUAGCUUUCUUCUGCUGAUACUGAGAGUGGUGGAGGUUAGCCUUCUCUCCAUAUCUAUGGAACCUAGCUUUCUUCUGCUGAUUCUGAGAGUGGUGGAGGUUAGCCUUCUCUCCAUAUCUAUGGAACCUAGCUUUCUUCUGCUGAUACUGAGAGUGGUGGAGGUUAGCCUUCUCUCCAUAUCUAUGGAACCUAGCUUUCUUCUGCUGAUUCUGAGAGUGGUGGAGGUUAGCCUUCUCUCCAUAUCUAUGGAACCUAGC